rnacentral:rRNA from 1 species
GGGUUGUGAGGUUAAGCGACUAAGCGUACACGGUGGAUGCCCUGGCAGUCAGAGGCGAUGAAGGACGUGCUAAUCUGCGAUAAGCGUCGGUAAGGUGAUAUGAACCGUUAUAACCGGCGAUUUCCGAAUGGGGAAACCCAGUGUGAUUCGUCACACUAUCAUUAACUGAAUCCAUAGGUUAAUGAGGCGAACCGGGGGAACUGAAACAUCUAAGUACCCCGAGGAAAAGAAAUCAACCGAGAUUCCCCCAGUAGCGGCGAGCGAACGGGGAGCAGCCCAGAGCCUGAAUCAGUGUGUGUGUUAGUGGAAGCGUCUGGAAAGGCGCGCGAUACAGGGUGACAGCCCCGUACACAAAAAUGCACAUAUUGUGAGCUCGAUGAGUAGGGCGGGACACGUGGUAUCCUGUCUGAAUAUGGGGGGACCAUCCUCCAAGGCUAAAUACUCCUGACUGACCGAUAGUGAACCAGUACCGUGAGGGAAAGGCGAAAAGAACCCCGGCGAGGGGAGUGAAAAAGAACCUGAAACCGUGUACGUACAAGCAGUGGGAGCACGCUUAGGCGUGUGACUGCGUACCUUUUGUAUAAUGGGUCAGCGACUUAUAUUCUGUAGCAAGGUUAACCGAAUAGGGGAGCCGAAGGGAAACCGAGUCUUAACUGGGCGUUAAGUUGCAGGGUAUAGACCCGAAACCCGGUGAUCUAGCCAUGGGCAGGUUGAAGGUUGGGUAACACUAACUGGAGGACCGAACCGACUAAUGUUGAAAAAUUAGCGGAUGACUUGUGGCUGGGGGUGAAAGGCCAAUCAAACCGGGAGAUAGCUGGUUCUCCCCGAAAGCUAUUUAGGUAGCGCCUCGUGAAUUCAUCUCCGGGGGUAGAGCACUGUUUCGGCAAGGGGGUCAUCCCGACUUACCAACCCGAUGCAAACUGCGAAUACCGGAGAAUGUUAUCACGGGAGACACACGGCGGGUGCUAACGUCCGUCGUGAAGAGGGAAACAACCCAGACCGCCAGCUAAGGUCCCAAAGUCAUGGUUAAGUGGGAAACGAUGUGGGAAGGCCCAGACAGCCAGGAUGUUGGCUUAGAAGCAGCCAUCAUUUAAAGAAAGCGUAAUAGCUCACUGGUCGAGUCGGCCUGCGCGGAAGAUGUAACGGGGCUAAACCAUGCACCGAAGCUGCGGCAGCGACGCUUAUGCGUUGUUGGGUAGGGGAGCGUUCUGUAAGCCUGCGAAGGUGUGCUGUGAGGCAUGCUGGAGGUAUCAGAAGUGCGAAUGCUGACAUAAGUAACGAUAAAGCGGGUGAAAAGCCCGCUCGCCGGAAGACCAAGGGUUCCUGUCCAACGUUAAUCGGGGCAGGGUGAGUCGACCCCUAAGGCGAGGCCGAAAGGCGUAGUCGAUGGGAAACAGGUUAAUAUUCCUGUACUUGGUAUUACUGCGAAGGGGGGACGGAGAAGGCUAUGUUGGCCGGGCGACGGUUGUCCCGGUUUAAGCGUGUAGGCUGGUUUUCCAGGCAAAUCCGGAAAAUCAAGGCUGAGGCGUGAUGACGAGGCACUACGGUGCUGAAGCAACAAAUGCCCUGCUUCCAGGAAAAGCCUCUAAGCAUCAGGUAACAUCAAAUCGUACCCCAAACCGACACAGGUGGUCAGGUAGAGAAUACCAAGGCGCUUGAGAGAACUCGGGUGAAGGAACUAGGCAAAAUGGUGCCGUAACUUCGGGAGAAGGCACGCUGAUAUGUAGGUGAAGUCCCUUGCGGAUGGAGCUGAAAUCAGUCGAAGAUACCAGCUGGCUGCAACUGUUUAUUAAAAACACAGCACUGUGCAAACACGAAAGUGGACGUAUACGGUGUGACGCCUGCCCGGUGCCGGAAGGUUAAUUGAUGGGGUCAGCGCAAGCGAAGCUCUUGAUCGAAGCCCCGGUAAACGGCGGCCGUAACUAUAACGGUCCUAAGGUAGCGAAAUUCCUUGUCGGGUAAGUUCCGACCUGCACGAAUGGCGUAAUGAUGGCCAGGCUGUCUCCACCCGAGACUCAGUGAAAUUGAACUCGCUGUGAAGAUGCAGUGUACCCGCGGCAAGACGGAAAGACCCCGUGAACCUUUACUAUAGCUUGACACUGAACAUUGAGCCUUGAUGUGUAGGAUAGGUGGGAGGCUUUGAAGUGUGGACGCCAGUCUGCAUGGAGCCGGCCUUGAAAUACCACCCUUUAAUGUUUGAUGUUCUAACGUGGACCCGUGAUCCGGGUUGCGGACAGUGUCUGGUGGGUAGUUUGACUGGGGCGGUCUCCUCCUAAAGAGUAACGGAGGAGCACGAAGGUUGGCUAAUCCUGGUCGGACAUCAGGAGGUUAGUGCAAUGGCAUAAGCCAGCUUGACUGCGAGCGUGACGGCGCGAGCAGGUGCGAAAGCAGGUCAUAGUGAUCCGGUGGUUCUGAAUGGAAGGGCCAUCGCUCAACGGAUAAAAGGUACUCCGGGGAUAACAGGCUGAUACCGCCCAAGAGUUCAUAUCGACGGCGGUGUUUGGCACCUCGAUGUCGGCUCAUCACAUCCUGGGGCUGAAGUAGGUCCCAAGGGUAUGGCUGUUCGCCAUUUAAAGUGGUACGCGAGCUGGGUUUAGAACGUCGUGAGACAGUUCGGUCCCUAUCUGCCGUGGGCGCUGGAGAACUGAGGGGGGCUGCUCCUAGUACGAGAGGACCGGAGUGGACGCAUCACUGGUGUUCGGGUUGUCAUGCCAAUGGCACUGCCCGGUAGCUAAAUGCGGAAGAGAUAAGUGCUGAAAGCAUCUAAGCACGAAACUUGCCCCGAGAUGAGUUCUCCCUGACCCUUUAAGGGUCCUGAAGGAACGUUGAAGACGACGACGUUGAUAGGCCGGGUGUGUAAGCGCAGCGAUGCGUUGAGCUAACCGGUACUAAUGAACCGUGAGGCUUAACCUUACAACGCCGAAG